UACGUAGGGGGCAAGCGUUGUCCGGAUUUACUGGGCGUAAAGCGCGUGUAGGCGGUCCGGUAAGUCCGCUGUGAAAGUCGGGGGCUCAACCCUCGGAUGCCGGUGGAUACUGUCGGGCUUGAGUACGGAAGAGGCGAGUGGAAUUCCUGGUGUAGCGGUGAAAUGCGCAGAUAUCAGGAGGAACACCAAUUGCGAAGGCAGCUCGCUGGGACGUUACUGACGCUGAGACGCGAAAGCGUGGGGAUCAAACAGG
rnacentral:rRNA from 1 species